rnacentral:rRNA from 1 species
AUACGUAGGUGACAAGCGUUAUCCGGAUUUACUGGGUGUAAAGGGCGUGUGGGCGGUUUAGCAAGUCAGAAGUGAAAUUCCCGGGCUUAACUUGGGCGCUGCUUCUGAAACUGCUUUACUUGAGUGCUGGAGAGGAUAGUGGAAUUCCUAGUGUAGCGGUAAAAUGCGCAGAUAUUAGGAGGAACACCGGUGGCGAAGGCGGCUAUCUGGACAGUAACUGACGCUGAGGCGCGAAAGCACGGGGAGCAAACAGGAUUAGAUACCCUGGUAGUCCGUGCCGUAAACGAUGAAUACUAGGUGUAGGGGGUAUCGACUCCCUCUGUGCCGCAGUUAACACAUUAAGUAUUCCACCUGGGGAGUACGGCCGCAAGGUUGAAACUCAAAUGAAUUGACGGGG